rnacentral:rRNA from 1 species
GUGGGGAAUAUUGGACAAUGGGCGAAAGCCUGAUCCAGCCAUGCCGCGUGUGUGAAGAAGGUCUUCGGAUUGUAAAGCACUUUAAGUUGGGAGGAAGGGCAGUAAGUUAAUACCUUGCUGUUUUGACGUUACCGACAGAAUAAGCACCGGCUAACUUCGUGCCAGCAGCCGCGGUAAUACGAAGGGUGCAAGCGUUAAUCGGAAUUACUGGGCGUAAAGCGCGCGUAGGUGGUUCAGCAAGUUGAAGGUGAAAUCCCCGGGCUCAACCUGGGAACUGCCUCCAAAACUACUGAGCUAGAGUACGGUAGAGGGUAGUGGAAUUUCCUGUGUAGCGGUGAAAUGCGUAGAUAUAAGAAGGAACACCAGUGGCGAAGGCGACUACCUGGACUGAUACUGACACUGAGGUGCGAAAGCGUGGGGAGCAAACAGGAUUAGAAACCCGAGUAGUCC